rnacentral:lncRNA from 1 species
GGAAGGGUAAUUUGGGGGCUCUUGAGAGAUGAGAGAAACAACGACUGGAGGGAUUAAGAAGAACUCUUAGGAGCAGCUUGGCCUAAAGGUGUGUGGGACGUGCCUGCUUUGCCUUCGCCUUCCACCAUGAUCGUAAGUUUUCUGAGACCCCCUCAGCCAUGUUUCCUGUAGAGCCUGUGGAGUUGUGAGUCAAUUAAACCUCUUUUCUUCAUAAAUUACCCAGUUUCAGGUAUUCCUUUGUAGCAAUGUGAUAACAGCCUAAUAAAGGUGACCUUAUAAGGAAAAAGAGACAUAGCAACACAGACGUAGACCCAGACCCAAAAUUGGUGAAAUCUGAAUGAACUCUGUGGUUUGUACCAAUGUCAUUUUCAUGAUUUUAAUAUCGUACAAUAGUUACAGUAGAUGUUACAAUUGGGGGAAACAUCCCUGUACAUUUAUUUUACAACUUCCUGUGAGUCUAUACUUAAUUGAAAUUAGAUGUUUUUAAAAAGAAUUAAAGGUAAUGUAAUGGCAUGUGAUGCAAAAAAUGGGCACAUGAAAUAUCCAGAGCAUUCAACCAGAUGGCAGCUAAAAAUGUGGACCAUCUGCCUUCAUGGAACUUUGUAUUUCGGACAUCUUUUCAUCAGCAAGACCAUGCCAUUUAAAUGUUUUCCCAGAAGUGAUGCUGAGCUAUGUUCAGUGGCCACAUGGCUCUCUAGAAUCAGUAACAAUGAAUAAGGAUGGACAGCCGGGAGUAAAGAUGCUCUCCAGGAAAUCAUCUUAGGACUGGGUAACCCCACUACACCCCUGGGAUUCAGUCAACCUUGGAAAUCACUGGAAUCCUUAAUAUAAACUACAAACAAUCCAGCAUUCUCUGUUUGGCUAAAGAUACAUUUCAAAGUUUUCUUUAAGAAAAAAAAGCAAUAUAUUAAAACGCUUUGUUUGAAUAUAUGUAUAUUUGCUGGAUCAAUAGUUCUUACAGCCAUAUUACUAAAAUUAAGGGCUAUGGCAUAAUAAGAAUUACUAUAAUUCUAAACCCAUUAACAGUUUAUAGCUUAUCCAUUUCUUAUACUAUCCCUGUGAGGAAUAAUUAUAUCAAGCUUUAUUUGUUUACACCAAACAGGAAAAAAUAGAUGUAUUUAUUCAUAUUUCCUCCAUUGGAUUAGCCAAGUCUACUAGGGAGCAAAAAUAGUAAAUUCACAUGCCUCCUUUUUUUAUGGUAGUAAUUGAAAAAGUUAUGGAUAUGAUCCCAUUUUCUGAAAUGUUUAAAAAUGAGUGUAUAAAAUGAUCUUAUUUUCAGAACUUAAGUCAUUAUGUGUAUUGUUUAUAGGGAGUUAUAUUACUUUUCCAGAUUAAUAGGCUGCCAUCGAUAAUGAAGAACAAAUAAAUCCUGCCUUGUGAAAUGCUGCCAUUUUAAAAUUUGCCUGAGGAAAGAUUCAUUAUUGGAGGAUUCUUUGCUUUAUACAUAAAUCGCUUUAAACAGCAAAGUCUCCUAGCAUUUAAAAAUAGUCCAUAUAUAAAAAUUCUCUCAAUCCACAAUCAUGUCAGUUGUGUAAAAUGAGAUAUAUCUGGUCUGAUACCUCAGUUUAUGGAAAUUCCUCUUGAAAUGUCAGUCAUUACUCACAUCAGUGCUUUAAAUGCCAUCUUAGCAAACUAAAAGAAAUUAGCGUACAUUUUGAGUAAUGGAAGUGAGUUAGGAAGAGGAAAGAACAGGGUCCAAUGAGUUUGAAAUGGUGUUUACAGUUGGGUAUUGUUCAUAGCUUUUGGAACUGUCUUGCUUCCCCUAUUCAUCAAGGUGCUGAGGCAACAACAUUAAAAUCAACCCAAGAAGUAUACUGAGUAGGUAUAUGGGAGAAUGGCAUAUUAACUUCUUGAUAAAAUGUCUCAGUAUGUAAAUACUUAUGAAUUAUUAUUAAUUUAUAUUACUGUACUUACACCAUUUGAUUACACCUGCAUAAAGCUGCAUACUCAUUUUUACUUCAAAUGCAGGAACUAACUCUUAUAUCCCCCACAGCAUUUAGUUGGCACAUAAUAGAUGCUUAUAGUUGAUGGACACAAAACAUAUUCAACUAUUACAAGAACAGAACUUUUAUUGCUUCUUCAGUUUCAAAUGUCUCAAAGUUACCCUUUGCUUUUGACCACAAAGUCUACCCCUCCUUAUGGUAGUUUCCUCAGGUGUCUGUGUCCUCUCUUUCCAUUGCAUUUUCUUCUCCCACAUCUACCCAGUAACUGGAGUCUUCCUCCUUUUGCUGCCCCUUGACUACAAGGCAUUUCCAUCUUUUGGCUUCCUAAUAUGUCAUGCCUUCUGUUAUUGCCACCACAGCCUUCCAUUUCCCAGCUCUCAUUUCCAUCCUAGGGAUGGGACAGUAAGGCUGUCAUGAAUAAGCAUAAUUUAUAUGCCUUUUUCUCCAUUUGUUGGUAUGGAUAAUUAAGUGACCUUCAACUUUCAUUCAAGGUUAAUCAUAGCGCUGAAAACCAAAAGGAUAAGAUGAGAGUGAGCAAAUCAAGUCCAGAGAGGUGUAUUUCCAGUGUGGAACAGUAACUCAGUGUAAAUAUCCAGGAGAGAGGCUUCCAAGAGAGCGUAUGUGUGUGCACUGGUGAGGGGAGGAAGGGUUACGGGCGGGAAUUGUGGUAGAAGCUUCCUGAGGCCAAAGAAAACAUUCCCAGAGGGUCUCUAUUUUAAAGAAAAGAUUUUCUUUCUCUGAUUUUUUUUAUAUGUAGAUGUCUUCAUUAUAUAUUUGGACCUGUUUUUAAAACAGCUUAGUUUUAGAUUUAUUCUUCGAGAUAACUUGUACCUAUGGACAUCACCAACAGCUUACAAAAAUUAGACCAGUUGACUCUCAAUAAGACUUCUCACCUGAUCCAUGAGCAUCAUCUCUUUAUUUGGAUUUCAUAAGCCAGAUGAUAUCUUAAAAUUGGCAAAUAUAAUUACAACUCCGUUGAACAUAUUUUUCUCCAGAAAAUGUUUUGAGUACAAAAACGACAUCUAGAGGUGACUGUCAAUAUAUCUUUUCUUUGCACGUACUACAUAUUUGUUGCCGUGUUUUAGAAAUAUUUUAGAAGUUUGGGUAACAGAACCGGCAGUGGCAUUUAUUGAAUUCUUCCUCACAAUAACUGAAGGGAUAGUAUUAUACUCGUUUUGCAGAUAUAACCCUUUCAAUCCAACUAAUAUUUAUUAAGUUUACUAAAUGCUGGCACCAGUGAUACCAAGAUCAAUCAGAUGUAGCUCUUGUUACUGAAUGGCGUACAUGGAGGAGAUAAACACAGUAACGUCCACUCUUGUGUGGUGAGUGCUGUUGGAGAUUAAUUAAGUGUUAUGAGGUUAUAGAAGAGGAAUUAUUCACCCAUCUGCAGAGGGCUUGGGGAUGAAACAGUGUCAGUGAAGCACUCCUGGAGGAGGUGUACCAGGGGAGGUGUUCCAGACAGAAAACAGCUGAAGUAAAAACAUGGAAUAGAGCAAUAGUAUAUUGUGGUCUGAGAACUACGUAUAAUUCAACAUUUCAGGAGGGUAAAGUGAGCGGUAGAUAAUGAUGAGAAAUAAGACUGCAGGCACAGUCAGAGGCCUAUUUACCCACACAAAGGAAUUUGGAGUUGGAGGCACCAAGGGUAAAUAUCUUGUUUCAAAAAGUGAUUACAUGAGGAUUUUUGCCCAGUUCUGUUUGUCUCCAAAGCCAUGAUUUUUACAUUAAACCAUAUUUACUUCAUAGACAUUCUUCAAAUUAACCAUUUACCAAAGAUGUAAAUAAGUUAUAAGAAGAAAAACAAUACUAAUUUGGAAGAUAAUAAAAGCAUUAUUUGGAAAAAGCCAGUGUAGUAUCUCUAUUUUCAAUUUGAACUUUGAGUCCAAUGAUUAGACAUUUUCUAGUCCCAUAUUUUAUACCAUACCAUGCAGUCUGCUUUUGUUAACUAUCAUUAAUAGUGAAAUGACAAACUGACCAGCAUCUAAUACUGGGGUUACACUGGUGGGUACCCUACAACAGGCGUUUUGUUCUUUGGUAUCUAACCACUACCUUCAGUAGCUGCCUGACAAAGAUGUGAAUCUGAGGCCACACUACCUCAAGGGCACCUCUACCAAGACACAUCUGCUGGGCCUAAUGAAAACAGAGGUUUCUCCUAGCCCUAGCAUUGGAGACUGACAUACCCUCAAUGGAUGUCAGGGGAGACCCAGUCACUAAGGAUGACUCUCCUGCCCCUAACCCAUUAGCAUGUCCCAAAAAGAAACAGGAGACCAAAGACCUUUGCCUUGUAUAACAGUCAUGCUGCCUCGGAAAAGCUGGGAAGUCCCCUCCCAGUGACCCCCAUGCUCUAUCCUAAUGUGAACGAUGUUCAUGCUUUUUCAUCAAAUCUUUUAAAUAGAAAGGGUGCAGAGAAAGUCAACUGUAAUCACUUGGUGCAGAGUGCAGGGAGAGAGAGCAUUUCAUAUUCAAGAAGAAAUUGUCCAAGCAGUAAAUGGCAUUGUGGUGAGUCCUGUAAUUGGAGAUAGUAGAGAAACACUGGACAGCUGAGGAAACUCCAGAAGGGAGAAAAAAAAAAAAAAAAAGGAAAACCUAAGAACAAAAUAAAAGAGUCUAAAAUUUACACAGAAUCAGAAAAAGACUUCUGAACAAAAUAGCAUUGAUGGUGCUGGGAAACUUAAUUAGUGCAUACCCCUUACAGCAGGAGGUGGGUAGAGGAACUGUUAUGUUAACGAAAGAUCAUUUGAAAAAAAAAAAAACAAAAACAUGUUGUCUUUCUCUUUAAAAUUUUAACUAAAUUCCCUGAUUCUUAACAGAACAGGGAAUAUACAUUUUUCACUAAGGAACAAGUGUGUUUUCUUAAAAUUCCAUAUUAUGAUCUGUUACAGGUGAGUGGGUGGCAAGUAGAAUAUUGUGGUUAACUCCUGGGAUGGAGAAAGGGUAGGGGAAUCGAUAUUAUUAAGAGAGGGAUAUAGGAGAGGCUUCAGUAAUUUGCAGUUUGAAUACUGCAAACUUAAGUAGUAGGAACUAAUGUUUCUGGAGUUAUUCCUUAUACCUUUAUAAAUGCCUAAAUACUACAAACAUUUCAUAAACUUUUAAAAGUGAAUUGGAGAUUCGGGCAAUAUUUAGGGAAAUGAGAGGGCGCAAGAAAGAGAUCAGAGGGGCAGAGGAUGAGAAGAAGAGGAGAAGUAAGUAGGGAGAGAGAGAAAAAGGGAAGGAAUGGUUUUGAACCUAGUGAGCUUUUGGAAGGGUUAGGUUAGAGGUCACAUCAUGCUGUUUUCCUUAUCAAUUCUUACCCUGAUUGAGUAGCUCUCUACCUGUUUCUCACCAAAUGGUUCAAGCAGCUGCCAUGGUAUUCUCAUCUCUACUUCCCAGCCACAAAACAGCUCCAGCCAACAUAAAGCAGUUCUUCCAGUAGAAAAAAGAAAAAAAGAGCACCUGCAAUUCCCUCAAGAAGAAAAGAACAAAAACAAUGAGUAUAUAUGUAUGAAUGAACCUAAAGCAGCUCUAAACUACUCCCCUUUGGGGACAGAAGCAGAUGCCUUCGCCAAAUUCAAAAUGAAAUCCCAUAUCUCUGAAGACCCCCUUCUUAUGUUACUGUAUAAUUUACAUGCAAGUUGUCUGCAUAGUUAAUCGUCCUCUAUAGCAUCUGGUAUUUAUCAUCAAAAGCCGCUUGUUGAGAGGUUCUGGAGAAGCUCUUCAUGUAUCCCGGGUUUUAAACAUUUUUCUACAAGUCUGUUUCUUUAAAAUUAAAAGUGUAGCUGAGCACAGCGAGGAUCUGGUAGUAAGUAGUAGGGAGGGUCAUUCAUACUUGGGAUGUUGCUAAUGUGACCUGCAUGAUUCAGGGCCAGAGAGGUGAAUGAAGAUAAAGGGAACUAAGCGUUACAGCCAAAAGGGUUCUGAAAAUCUCCUAGUCAGAUUCCUCAGUUUCCACAUUUGACAGUAGCUUUCGCAGGGAACCCCAUCCACCAUGACUGAGCUGAAACUAGAAGCCAGGUUUUUCAGGUGUCAUUCAGGGUUGAUUUAGGGUUUUGGUUUUCUCCUGCAAAAUGGAGAAAAUGGGAAAAUUUUAGAUUAUCCAUGUUAGAAGGAUGAUGAAUGUGUGUAAAUGAUAUUGUUCAGAUUCUGUGAGUGGGACCAGCACCACAUUGGACUGGCCUAGGGAAGUCAGGAUUCUGCCUUCUAGGUAGGUGCUCCCAUCUGUUGGUGACCUGGAACAUCUCUCUGUGUUCAUUCUGGAGAUGCAGAUCUGGGUCCCGCAGACUCAGACCUUUGCAGGACACUAGGGUGGCCCCUUGUUGCUUCUCAUCUGCUAUAGUCUCCUGCCACUGUGGCCUACGGGUUUGAUUUAGAAAUUCAGGAAAGACUAGAAGCAAGCAAACAGAUAAAAGGUUAGUGAAGUGUUUAUCCACUAGAGCAAAGCCACAACUUUUCGUAUUAUUUAGCUCUUAUUAUUCUAAAUUUUAAAUUGUUUUUUAUUGUUUCACUUACCAUGUGUAACUUUCACUUUUCAAUUACACAUGGCAAGUGAAAGAAUAAAAAACAAUUUAUUUAUUUUUUAUUUUUAUUUUAUUUUUUGAGACAGAGUCACGCUCUGUCACCCAGGGUGGAGUGCAGUGGCGUGAUCUUGGCUCACUGCAACCUCCGCCUCCCGGGUUCAAGUGAUUCUCCUGCCUCAGCCUCCUGAAUAGCUGGGAUUACAGGCACCCACCACCACACCCGGCUAAUUUUUGUAUUUUUAGUAGAGAGGGGGUUUCGCCAUGUUACCCAGGCUGGUCUCAAACUUUUGACUUCAGGUGAUCCACCCUCCUUGGCCUCCCAAAGUCUUGGGAUUAUAGGCAUGAGCCACCACGCCCAGCCAAAAAAAACAAAACAAAACAAAAAACUAAAAUUUAGAAUAAUAAUAAGAGCUCAGAAAAUGACAGUAAUUAAACAAAGGUCACACGGAAAAGUUGCCCUUGAUAUAUCUUGGGACAGGGUGGGUUUUCCUUAUUGUUCUUAGCUCCUUUUGUUAAUGUUUAUUUUAGUGCCUUAAUGCUACUAAACAGAAAAUUCAGAAAACAUUGUAGAUGUCUUCCUUUUACGCUAAUAUUCUCCAGCUUUUCAUACAUUUGCAAAAAGAAAUAGAUUAUGGAUUUCUCAAGGUUUAGCCGCUUGUUAUUUCCGUGUGUAAUACAAAUAAGCAUAGUUAAAGGUUAAUUUAAUUAGCAAAUUUGCAGUUAUCUGAAUUAAGUGUACUCCAAAUUUAGUUUACAAGACCUGACAAGUUUGUGAAUAAGUUAAUUCACUUCUAAUGUAUUUUAAUAUACCCAAACCACAAAGCAUCUUAAACUUUGUAAAAAGAGUGUGCACGGAGGAAUGAGCACUAGAUGUGAAUUCUAGAGAACUGGGGUCCAGGCUCUGCUGUGUAUUGGCCUGAGCAGUUCACUUAACUUCCCUGAGUCUUGGUGUCCUGUUUUGUAUAAAGGGGAACCUGAUCCCUCUUCUGCCUGGCUGGCAGAGCACUGUGAGACUCUGGAGAAAUGACAUAUGUUAGAGAUGUUUAUAACCUGGAACACGGUACACGGUAUGUUUUGUUUGUGGCAUUUUUUUUUUUUUUUUUUUUUUGAGACGGAGUCUCACUCUGUCGCCCAGGCUGGAGUGCAGUGGCGCGAUCUCGGCUCACUGCAACCUCUGCCUCUCAGGUUCAAGCAAUUCUCCUGCCUCAGCCUCCCAAGCAGCUGGGACUACAGGUGUGCGCCAUCAUGCCCAGCUAAUUUUUGUAUCUUUAGUAGACAUGGGGUUUCACCAUGUUGGCCAGGAUGGUCUCGAUCUCUUGACCUCGUGAUCCACUUUCCUCAGCCUCCCAAAGUACUGGGAUUACAAACGUGAACCACCAUGCCCGGCCUGUGGCAUUGUUUUUAAACUAAAGCAUGUAUUAUAGUUUUCCUGAAAAGUAAAGAUUUCCAGAAAAGGAAUUGGGAAACUCUUUUACCCUCAUAGUUAUAAAAUAUGGAGGUUUCCUUCCUCCAGGUUGGUCAGCUUCCCUCUUGAUAUGGUUUGGCUUUGUGUCCCCACCCAAAUCUCAUUUGAAUUGUACUCCCAUAAUUCCCACAUGUUGUGGGAGGGACCUGGUAGGAGAAUCAUGGGGGUGCUUUCCCCUGUACUGUUCUCAUGGUAGUGAAUAAGUUUCACAAGAUCUGAUAGUUUUAUCAGGGAUUUCCGCUUUUGUGUCGUCAUUCUCUCUUUGCCUGCUGCCAUCCAUGUAAGAGGAGACUUGCUCCUUUUUGCCUUCUGCCAUGAUUGUGAGGCUUCCCCAGCCAUGUGGAACUGUAAGUCCAAUUAAACCUCUUUGUUUUGUAAAUUGCCCAUCAGCAGCGUGAAAAUGGACUAAUACACCUCUGCUCUAGUUCUUUUUGGAACUAGGCCUCUUCCCUUUGGUUGUCUUGCCACUCACUGUCAGAUUGGACACUUCUCCACACUGGACCUCAACAUCACCCUGCUGGCAGUCCCACAGGAGUUAAAAUGUCUGAAGAGGGAAUGGCCCAAAAAGGAGUCUCACUGCCAUUGCAAGAGCUGGUUUAGAAUAAAGGGGGCAGGGUGGAUGAUGAAGGAUUACUUAAUGGGUACAAUGUAUGUUAUUUGAGUGAUGGAUACUCUAAAAGCCCUGACUUCCCCAAUAUGCAAUCUAUGCAUGUAACAAAAUUACACUUAUACCCCAUAUAUUUAUACAAAUAAAAAGGAAUUUUAAAAAAGAAUAAAGGGGUAUGCUGUUCAUUCAUUUAAUAAACAUGUAUUGAGCACCAACUAUGUGCCAGGCACUCUUCUAGAUGCCUGAGGUGCAUAAAUGAACAAAGUGGACAAAAAUUCCUUCCCUUGUGGAGCUUACACUCAAGAAUAUGAGACCAAGGAGAUACAGUCUCAGAAGGAGCAGAGACAAGGAAGAGUCAAUGAUGCCCAGUGAACAAUGGGAUAAAGCUUAGGAGUGUUCAUCCUCAUUCAUAAUUCCAUAGCCCAUAAACGUGCAGACCCAGACUUGACCAUAAUGUGACUAGAUACUAACAGGGAGUAAUUAAGUUUAUUUUUUUCAUAUGAAUUUCACAGACAUAUACAAUAGCAUGGUUAAAAGAACUAAAUUAAUUUUAUGGUAGUAAUUUUUUCCAACUCUGAUAUUUUGUGUCAGCUCCUACUUGUCCCAGCCAUGCCUAUCUGUGGUCUGCGGGCCUUCAAAGGGCAGCCUUUGUGUUGCCCAAAGCCAGCACAGUGGUGCUUUGUGCAGGGGCAUCCCUGUGCCUCCUGGAAUUCGUCUGCCCCAUGAAGCUAGGUGGCUGGUGUUCGUGGCCAGUCCUCUAAGAAGCAGGUGUCCCCACUACCGUCCACCAUGUGUGUCCUGUCUGCAGAACGUGGCUACUACUCAGAUCCUGUUUCUCACUCAAGUUCUACCUCAAGGCUCGCACUCUGUCAAGUGAUGUACUUCUUGGGGUCCAUCUGCCUCGGGGGUGGAAAUUGUGAAUAGAACUGUAGCCCAGAGAAUCAUUGAGAGACUAGGUAUAAGCCAGUGGCAGAACCUCAACCAAAAUGCCGGGCUUGUGACCCCUAGCCCUGGGCUCGUGCACAUAACACACAGUGCUCUGAAAUAUCAUUGUUUGGGGCAUUAUUGUCACUUUUCUUCUACUGAUGUGGAUGGCAUGUUGGAUUUUAUGAAUAUCAAUUAUUCAGAUUCUUCUCAAAUAGUAAUUAGUUGGUUUUGAGAGUAAUUAAGGCAAUAGAUGCUCCUACAAGAAAAGAGAAUGAAAGACCCUGAUUUGUGUAUUUGGGGUAAGAUCUUACAACAAACUGGGCCCAGGUCUGGAAUAAAUGUGGACAACUUCUAGCACAGCAUAAAAGCAUUAAAAAGUUUAUUAACACAUCAUGUCGGUGUCAAUGAAAAUCAAAUUGGUAUAAUUUUCAAAGAAGAAACUAAUGAUACUUUAAGGCUGUGUUUAUAGUAAUACUAUCUUUCUGAAAGAUACUUUGUUUAUGUACUAUAUUAACAUAGAAAAAUAGUAAGCAGUUUCCAGCUACAAUCAGUGGUUUAAAUUAAGAUGUAAAUGUGGGUCUACCAGUGAGAAACUAAGGCAAAUGUCUCCAUCUAAGACAGAGUUGCCAGAUAAAAUAUAAGAUGAUGCCCACUUAAAUUUGAAUUUCAUAUGAAUAACAGGUAAUUUUUUCUUAUAAGUAAAAAUUUC